rnacentral:ncRNA from 1 species
GGGGUAGAGGUCGCGAUUGUGAAGAGUACACCGGAGGAGGCGUCAGAAGCCGCCCGUGAUGCCGGUCGAAAGGCACCGUCGCCGAAGCUUGGCUGCCUGCUUCUAUCGGCACCCGGCUGGGGCUGUUACCGAAAGGGACAGAACUGUCACGACAUUCCCGUCACCCGGGGGAUAUCGUGUUGAGCUAU